AUUAUUCUUAACCAAAUUAAAUAAUAUUUACCUACAGCGUGCUAAGUGUUUUACUGUAUUCACAAAUUGUUGAUAAUGUGAUUCAUGAAUAUCAUUUAUCGUUUUAGAGUCGAAGGAAUUUUUAUGUGUAUUUGAUAUCUGUUAACAUUUGUCCCAGUUAUAAAUGUUAAAGUAAUUCCUGUGUUAAAUUGGACAGUUUAUUGAAAAUCACGGAAACUGAGUGAUGACCUCAUCAAGAACGCCUGUUCCAAUUGGUGAACUAACGAACUGCUUCCUUGUGAACUCGAUCAUCCGUCCUCGCCAGCUGACGGCGUCCUGAUGGACGUCCUGAUUUAUGGUCCAGGUCCACAAAUACCAGAACCAACACCAUCUUCAUUGGCUGACAGGAGGGACACAGGACAUUUAUGAGGACAUUUCUACAAUCUGAAGACAUUUCUGUGGUGUGGCUAGAUGUUUUAUUUCCAGGACAUUUGUGAGGUCAUUUGUGAGGACACGGGCAGACAGUGACUAUCUCCUUAAUGAGGAUGUUUUGCCUGUUCUCCGGUUUGUGCCUUCAUUCCUCACAGGAAGCGGUCUUCAUGAAACGUCUCAGCCUUGGCGCAGUCCUCAGAGGACGGUUGGUCUCUCAAACAAUGUGACGUUUCGUCCCGGAGAUGAAAGUUUAAUGAUUCUGCAGGAGAAAGUGGGAUGAUGAAACCUCACAUCAAGACAAGAUGCUGCUCUGCCCUGGGCUCUGUCUGCAGGCGCUUCGACGUCCCACGUCCUCUUCUGGGGACAUGAACAUAGUCUGAUGGAGACAACCUGAUUAGGGACGGAAAGAAGAUUAAAAAAUAAAACAGUUUAAUUU